rnacentral:lncRNA from 1 species
UCUCUCUCUCCUGCUCUGCCAUGGUAAGACAUGCUUGCUUACCCUUCGCCUUCCACUGUGAUUAUUAGGUACCUGAGGCCUCCUCAGCUAUGCCUCCUAUACAGCCUGCAGAACUUUGACGUGGGAUUUCACCAUAUUGGCCAGGCUGGUCUCGAACUCCUGACCUCGUGAUCCACUGGCUUCUGCCUCCCAAAGUGCUGGGAUUACAGGUGUGAGCCACCACACUGGCUUACCAAGGACAAGUUCAUCUUCAAGAAAACUAAGAGAUCUCUUCCCCUGACAAAAAACAACUCCAUGUUUGAUGGGACUCAGACCUGGGCUCUUCUGUCACCUCUAGGUAGGGAGGUCUUGGAGAGCAAGUGAGACCAGAGUGUUCAUGGAAAGUCACCAUCCACAGACAUUGGAAAAAUAGUCAUUCCCAAUUUCUGCUAUGUGAUCCCGUUUAGGAGUCACCCUACCAAGUGGGUAUGAUGAUGAAGGUGAGCUGCUAAGAAAGAGGUUGAGAGACAGCUGAUGUUUGUUUCAAGCAAAUCUUCUUUAACCCGAGGCACCAGGAGCAGAGGGCCAGUGGGUAAAAAGGUUAAGUAGGAUGGAAUCUACAAUAAAGCCAAAUGUGUGGG